GUCUGCAGCCAUGCUACCCUGAACAAGCCUGAUCUCAACUGAUCUCGGAAGCUAAGUAGGGUCUGGCCUGGUUAGUACUUGGAUGGGAAACCACUUAGGAAGACUAGGUGCUGUAGGUG
rnacentral:rRNA from 1 species